rnacentral:tRNA from 1 species
GCAUUGGUGGUUCAGUGGUAGAGUUCUCACCUUCCAUGCAAGAGUUCCCAGUUGGAUUCCCGGCUAAUGCA